rnacentral:rRNA from 1 species
UGGCGGCGUGCCUUAGCAUGCAAGUCAUGGGACCCGCAAGGGGUUACCGGCGGACGGGUGAGUAACGCGUGGGAAUCUACCUUGAAGUUGGACAUAGCUCGGCGAAAGUCGGGGUAAUUUCCAAUGUGAACGUAAGUUCAAAGCCGCAAGGCGCUUUAAGAUGAGCCCGCGUCCUAUCAGCUUGUAGGUGGGGUAAUGGCCUACCAAGGCGACGACGGGUAGCUGGUCUGAGAGGAUGGUCAGCCACAACGGCACUGCGACACGGGCCGUACAUCUACGGAUGGCAGCAACUGGGAAUAUUCGGCAAUGGGCGAAAGCCUGACCGAGCGACGCCGCGUGGAGGAUUGAAGGCCUUCGGGUUGUAAACUCCUUUUACGAGGGAAGAUUAUGACGGUACCUCGCGAAUAAGCACCUGCUAACUACGUGCCAGAAGCCUCGGUAAUACGUAGGGUGCAAGCGUUAUCCGGAUUCACUUGGGCAUAAAGAGUUGCGUAGGCGGUCUGAUAGAUUUUGCUUGAAAGCCCAUGGCUCAACCAUGGUUUUGGGCAAAAUAUCAUCAGACUUGAUGAUUGGAGAGGAUGCUGGAACUGACUGUGUAGCAGUGAAAUGCGUUGAUAUAGUCGGGAACACCAAAGGCGUAGGCAGGCAUCUAUUCAAUAUAUGACGCUGAGGCACGAAAGCUAGGGUAGCGAAGCAGAUUAGAGACCUGCGUAGUCCUAGCCGUAAACUAUCCCUGCUAGAUUGUCGUCUAUCGAUUUAUCGGUAAGUGACUGUCGAAGCUAACGCGUUAAGCAGGGCGCCUGGGGAGUACGAGCGCAAGCUUAAAACUCAAAGGAAUUGACGGGGAGGCGCACAAGCAGUGGAGCGUGUGGUUUAAUUCGAUACGAAGCGAAAAACCUCACCAGGGUUUGACAUGCAAUUGCUAAGCCUAUGAAAGUAGGCCUCCUUCGAGGGUAUUGCACAAAUGCUGCAUGGCUGUCGUCAGCUCGUGGCGUGAGCUGUUUUCUAAGUGAAUAAACGAGCGCAACCCGCAUCAUAUGUUAGAUAAGUCAUAUGAAACUGCCCGGCUUUGCCGGGAGGAAGGCGCGGAUGACGUCAAGUCUGCACGGCUCUUACACCCUGGGCUACACACACCCUACAAUGGCGAAAAACAACGAGUCGCUAGCCAGUAAUGGUAAGUAAAUCUCUGAAAUUUCGCCUCAGUUCAGAUUGAGGGCUGCAAUUCGCCCUCAUGAAGUCGGAAUUGCUAGUAAUCGCGGAUCAGCAAGGCCGCGGUGAUACGUUCUCGCCUCUUGCACA